CAAGCUCGUCUCUUUGGGUCUG
rnacentral:miRNA from 12 species